ACGCGACCCCAGGUCAGGCGGGAUCACCCGCUGAGUUUAAGCAUA
rnacentral:rRNA from 1 species